UUGGGCUUGGGUGUAACGGGGGCCUGGAGAAACCAUCACGUUGCAUGGAUGCUCGGAGACACUUGUCACCCCUGGAAUGCCUGCUGUGAACAAGAGCUGGGGCUGAACCAAGCUAAGAUUAUUGACAAUCCCUAUCAUGUUGCCAACGUCACCAAUGGCAGGACUGAAGAUGGAUCCAUUGGAAACUAAAGGCUUUUCCUCAGCCAACACCUCAUGAACUUGACUGGAAAAUAGCACAGGUGAUCAAGACUGAUACCGCACAAUCGUCCUCCUGGUUAACAAGCUAAGACCAAUCCAGAUGGGGAGGGUUGGCCCUCCAACACCACUACCAAUGCUCUCAGCUGGGAUCAGUGGACUGCAGCAAUAUCUUACUGAAGACAAAGAUGAGGGAAUCUACAAUGUUGAUGCAAGAUUGCCCUGUGAUGUCCAGGCGUCUUUGACUACAACGCUUUGGUUCAGCUUUGGUCCUCGGAUGGUAAAGUUUGGACACA